UAGCAUUUUGAUUUAAUUUUUUUUAUUAUUGCUAUCUAAUACCAUUUCAUCAUUUCCUUUUAACCUACACUCCAGAAAGCAUAAAUGUCUCCACUACCAAGCAAACAAAAACCACAACCACAGCAGAAGUGGAGGCUGGAGCAGGAGGUAAUCUAGAAGUAUUGAGAGGGAAGAGUGAGCAGAUGCAAAAUGUCUCUGGACACACGGAAGGCUGAACCUUUUCCACCUGUGAUGAAUCCAGGGUGUUGGUGGAAAUGUAUAUAGAAGGCCUCUUGUCCACUGAAGAAGGAAGGCAUUUUCCAAUGAGAAAGGGCCUGACACCUCCCCCACCCCCUCAAGCAAAAGUGUUUACAUUUCUUGUUGUUAACCGUGGAAAAGAGAUCUACUUCUGGAAAUCCCCAAGCCAGAAAGAUUUGAUUGAGAAUCCAGGAAUCUAACUCCCAGCAUAGUUGUGGGAGAAGUGUUAUCUGAGGUCAUUCACUAUCCUGUUUUGUUCCCUGGGAGGUAAAUUACUGAGAUUAGAAUGCAAUUGGCUAUGCACCAGUUCCAGAACUUCAUCACUUCAGCACAAAAGGAAGGAGAUCUGACCCCUCCUUGUUGACUGAUAUAAAACAUGCAAGGCUAUACUGUCUGUCAAGAUCUUUAUGGACCUGUCUCUGAUUAAAAGCAGGAAGUGGAUAUAAGGAUUUCUGUCUGCCCUCAGCUUGAGGAGGUUGAUAUGUCGCCAUGCCUCUUAGGCAGACCAUUUGCUCUGAGUGGUGGAGGUCCCUAAAGGUGCUCCCACCCCACCCAGCUCAUCAGGGUUGCAUCUGUUGUUAUGGUGAAGGAAGGAGGAAGUUGAACAAAUAAAAUCCCCAUGCAGACAUUAUCUGGAUCUUUCCACCAAUUGAGAAACUCUCAUGCUUGACAAGGGACCAGCACCAGCUUGUUCAGGCUGUGUUUGUUUGGAGUGUAUAAACAGUCCUGAGCCAACCCAAAACAUCAAAGGCAGAGCCUGGCAUGUUGUGUCACAAAGGUGCAAGCUGCCAUAUGAGUGAGUAGUUAAAGACAAAUUCUUCUUGAUGUCUGUGGGCUGAUUUGAAUCUUUGAGAUGAGAUUUGUUAACAUCAAGAAUCUGUCAAGGGAAGAUAAGUCUGGGGUGAUAUUGCAUCUAAGGAUGCUCCUGUGAACUCUAGUCUUUGUACCGGCCUCAAAGUGGAUUUCUCGAUGUUGAGCUGCAAACCUAGCUAACACAACAGGGAUCUUAUCUUUAUGACAGCAAAAACUUCAUUAUAAGAUUGGCCCUUGAGUAGCCAGUUCAUCCCCAGGUGCUGAAGGUAAGCUGCAACCACUGCCAAUAUGUUCAAGAAGACUCUUGGGGAGAAAGAAAGGCCAAAAGGAAUUACAUGAUACUGGAAGUGAUCCUGACCUAUCAAAAACUUCAGGAAUUGUUUGUGAGAUGAAUGAAUUGCAAUCUGAAAAUAGGCAUCAUGAAGAUUGAGGGCUGAAAAACAGUCCCGCAGUUGUAAUGAUGGAAUUAUAACUGUGAGAGACACCAUCCUGAAUUUUUCUGAUUUCACAAAGUUGUUAAGGAGUAUUACAGCCAAAAUCAGUCUCCAUCCCCCAUUCUUCUUCGUGACCAAAAAAUAGUUGGAGUAAAAGCCCCUCCCCCUCUGUGCUGAACUGGAAAUGGUUCUACAGCUCCUAUGUGCAGAAUGGAAUUGACUUCCUGCUUUAAAAGGUACCUGUGAGAGGUGUUCCUGAGGCGAGAUGAAGAACAGAGGUAGAUAGAGGAGAAGGAGGUAAAAUGGAUGGAGUACCUGUUUUAUAACCCAGCACCCAUUUGGCUGACAAUAUUUGCUCCCAUCAGGAUUGAAAGUGGGAGAGACUGUCUCCAAAGGAAGGGAGGUGGGUAGAAUGGUAUAGAUGCAGCUCAGUUUAAUGGAGUUGUUCUGGGUCCUCGACCAGCCUGUCAGAACUGUCAUUUAGAUGAUAAUGGAUGCUCAAUAGUGGACACAGAAGAAGUAGAUGGUCUCCUGCUCUGGAACCUUGAUUUCUUCCAGGGUGAUUCAUAAGGUCUCUGAAACUUUGAGAAUGGAGCGUGGUGGGAUCUUUGGGGAUCUGCUAAAGUUUCAUUUGCUUGUAAGUGUGUACAUCCUAAGGGAUCUCAAGGUGGCUCUGAAAUCCUUAAGGAUAUACUAGGACUCAUCAUUGGAUUGAGUGAACAGUAUGAGACCAUUGGAGGGAAGUCCUCAACUGUAUUUGGGACCUCCCUUGGGAAUCCGGACAGCUGGAGCCAGGACACCUUCUGCAUGACCACUGUCAUAGAUAUGGAUUGAGCAGCAGUGUUGGUCACAUCCAGCAAGGCCUGUGCUAACAGUUUGCCCUCGUUAAUAGCCUGAAACUGUUCACGCUGUUCAGCUGGCAGCUGCUCAAUAAAGGUGGUGAACUUGGCAUAAUUUGAGUGGUUGUGUGGUGUCUUCUCAGUACUGAAGACAUCUAGUGGUCAACUUGGAUACAGACUGUACUUAAGGAGACCGUAGGUACUGAUCUCAUAGAGUACCUCUACACUGAAAUAAAAAUCCAUGGCAUAGCUGUGGCUGGUCCAGGUCAGCUGUCUCAGCCAACAGGGCUCAGGGGUGGGGCUAAAAAUUGCUAUGUAGAUGUUUGGGCUCGGGCUGGAGCUUGAGCUCUGGGGCUCUCUCACCUUGUAUGGUCCCAGAGCUCAGACUACAGCCUGAGCCCGAAUGUUUACAUAGCAAUUUUACAGCCCCUCAGCCCAACCCCCAUGCGUGAACUGUGUGGUGCUCUCUCAAUGCUACGGGAAGCAGCUCUGAUCGAGAUAGAUCAUCAUCUGCUGAUGUACAGCACCUCAGAUUAAAGAUGAGAUAGACCACGGGCUGCCAUGAGGAAUACUUUGGACCACAUUCCAGAAUGUGUUACUGCAGAGGGGUCAAAUAGCAGGUGUCUAAUUCUUUCCAAAGACUGCUCUAUUUUAUUUUUAUUAUUUAAAUCCACAAUCACAAAACAUCUCAAAUCACAUCAAGUACAGUGUGUCAUGCUUGGGAAUGUUCCAGAAUCCAUUUGCUGCUGCUGUAUGAUUACAGAAAUUCAAUAAUUCAGAUGAGUAGAAAUCCAGUACAGACGUUUUGCCUGCUCUCCAUUUAAUUUGCUGGUCCCAAACGCAUCUCCUAUCAAAGAAAAAUACAUUUCAGGGGUAAUCAGGGCCCAACAACAGUCAAAAGAUUAUGCUGGUGCUGUUAACCUGUUACAUUUGCUCCUCUUUUGACACUCAAAUCAAUACACCACUGACUAGUUGCUCUGAACAUUGUCAGAAAUAUUUGUGUUGCUGUAAAGACAAACAAAACAAAAGAGAGUCUUCUUCACUAUUCUUAAAGACUACAGUGCUGAAAACCAAUUUCUGCCAUUUAAAAGCAAGCACAGAAGGAAAACAUCUUUCCAGGUAUUAGAUUUAUCCACUUUGGGAGUAUGCCAUUUUAGUCAUGUCAUUCUCUUCACAGUUCAUACUUUUUUCUACAAGUGAAAAUGAGAGUUGAAUCACCCAUAUGUAAACGUGAUUAUUCCUCUUCAUCCAAAAGUGUGUGGUUGAUUUAAGGCUAGGACUGAUGUAGACCCCUUGCCAAAUGAAAAAAAAAAAUCGGACUAUGAAAUUCCUUGUCCAGCUACCUAAUUCAUUAACUAACCAGUACAUUUUAUUACAGGCUUCAGCAAAUUAAUGUGAAAUGGGCCCAUUUUAUGCUAUCAUGGUAUAUGAGC